rnacentral:lncRNA from 1 species
AGAGAGAAUAACAAAAUGAGAAACGAGAAUCAACCUGCAUCUCCGCUUGUUCAUGAAGAUCCCCUGAACGAGCAUGUCUCUCAUGCUGAAUUCAGAGCUGCAUUCACUACUUUAGCUCACUCAGUAGCAUCUUACAAUAACCAAUAGGUUGUCGUUCCAGUGGCUAAUACUACCACAGCUAGGAUUCGGGACUUCAACCAAAUGAACCCUCUU